rnacentral:rRNA from 1 species
AGUCGAGAAUCUUCGGCAAUGAGCGCAAGCUUGACCGAGCGACGCCGCGUGUGGGAUGAAGGCCUUCGGGUUGUAAACCACUGUCGUAGGGGACGAAAUUCUAGUGGGUACUCUCAUUAGAUUGACAGAUCCUAGGAGGAAGGGUGGGCUAAGUUCGUGCCAGCAGCCGCGGUAAGACGUACCACCCGAACGUUAUUCGGAUUCACUGGGCUUACAGAGUCCGUAGGCGGUGGAGAAAGUUAGGCGUGAAAUCCCCCAGCUCAACUGAGGAAUAGCGCUUAAAACUACUUCGCUAGAGAGAGUCAGAGGUGAGCGGAACUGAUGGUGGAGCGGUGAAAUGCGUUGAUAUCAUCAGGAACACCGGUGGCGAAAGCGGCUCACUGGGGCUUUUCUGACGCUGAGGGACGAAAGCUAGGGGAGCGAA